rnacentral:rRNA from 1 species
AAAGCACCCCGGAAGGGGAGUGAAAGAGAUCCUGAAACCGUGUGCCUACAAAUAGUCAGAGCCCGUUAAYGGGUGAUGGCGUGCCUUUUGUAGAAUGAACCGGCGAGUUACGAUCCCGUGCGAGGUUAAGCUGAAGAGGCGGAGCCGCAGCGAAAGCGAGUCUGAAUAGGGCGUUUAGUACGUGGUCGUAGACCCGAAACCAGGUGAUCUACCCAUGUCCAGGGUGAAGUUCAGGUAACACUGAAUGGAGGCCCGAACCCACGCACGUUGAAAAGUGCGGGGAUGAGGUGUGGGUAGCGGAGAAAUUCCAAUCGAACCUGGAGAUAGCUGGUUCUCCCCGAAAUAGCUUUAGGGCUAGCCUUAAGUGUAAGAGUCUUGGAGGUAGAGCACUGAUUGGACUAGGGGUCCUCAUCGGAUUACCGAAUUCAGUCAAACUCCGAAUGCCAAUGACUUAUCCUUAGGAGUCAGACUGCGAGUGAUAAGAUCCGUAGUCAAAAGGGAAACAGCCCAGACCGCCAGCUAAGGUCCCAAAGUGUGUAUUAAGUGGAAAAGGAUGUGGAGUUGCUUAGACAACUAGGAUGUUGGCUUAGAAGCAGCCACCAUUUAAAGAGUGCGUAAUAGCUCACUAGUCGAGUGACUCUGCGCCGAAAAUGUACCGGGGCUAAAUACACCACCGAAGCUGCGGAUUGAUACCAAUGGUAUCAGUGGUAGGGGAGCGUUCUAAGGACAGUGAAGUCAGACCGGAAGGACUGGUGGAGUGCUUAGAAGUGAGAAUGCCGGUAUGAGUAGCGAAAGACGGGUGAGAAUCCCGUCCACCGAAUGCCUAAGGUUUCCUGAGGAAGGCUCGUCCGCUCAGGGUUAGUCAGGACCUAAGCCGAGGCCGACAGGCGUAGGCGAUGGACAACAGGUUGAUAUUCCUGUACCACCUCUUUAUCGUUUGAGCAAUGGAGGGACGCAGAAGGAUAGAAGAAGCGUGCGAUUGGUUGUGCACGUCCAAGCAGUUAGGCUGAUAAGUAGGCAAAUCCGCUUAUCGUGAAGGCUGAGCUGUGAUGGGGAAGCUCCUUAUGGAGCGAAGUCUUUGAUUCCCCGCUGCCAAGAAAAGCUUCUAGCGAGAUAAAAGGUGCCUGUACCGCAAACCGACACAGGUAGGCGAGGAGAGAAUCCUAAGGUGUGCGAGAGAACUCUGGUUAAGGAACUCGGCAAAAUGACCCCGUAACUUCGGGAGAAGGGGUGCUUUCUUAACGGAAAGCCGCAGUGAAUAGGCCCAAGCGACUGUUUAGCAAAAACACAGCUCUCUGCGAAGCCGUAAGGCGAAGUAUAGGGGGUGACACCUGCCCGGUGCUGGAAGGUUAAGGAGAGGGGUUAGCGUAAGCGAAGCUCUGAACUGAAGCCCCAGUAAACGGCGGCCGUAACUAUAACGGUCCUAAGGUAGCGAAAUUCCUUGUCGGGUAAGUUCCGACCCGCACGAAAGGUGUAACGAUUUGGGCACUGUCUCAACCAGAGACUCGGUGAAAUUAUAGUACCUGUGAAGAUGCAGGUUACCCGCGACAGGACGGAAAGACCCCGUGGAGCUUUACUGUAGCCUGAUAUUGAAUUUUGGUACAGUUUGUACAGGAUAGGCGGGAGCCUUUGAAACCGGAGCGCUAGCUUCGGUGGAGGCGCUGGUGGGAUACCGCCCUGACUGUAUUGAAAUUCUAACCUACGGGUCUUAUCGACCCGGGAGACAGUGUCAGGUGGGCAGUUUGACUGGGGCGGUCGCCUCCUAAAGUGUAACGGAGGCGCCCAAAGGUUCCCUCAGAAUGGUUGGAAAUCAUUCGUAGAGUGCAAAGGCAUAAGGGAGCUUGACUGCGAGACCUACAAGUCGAGCAGGGACGAAAGUCGGGCUUAGUGAUCCGGUGGUUCCGCAUGGAAGGGCCAUCGCUCAACGGAUAAAAGCUACCCCGGGGAUAACAGGCUUAUCUCCCCCAAGAGUCCACAUCGACGGGGAGGUUUGGCACCUCGAUGUCGGCUCAUCGCAUCCUGGGGCUGUAGUCGGUCCCAAGGGUUGGGCUGUUCGCCCAUUAAAGCGGUACGCGAGCUGGGUUCAGAACGUCGUGAGACAGUUCGGUCCCUAUCCGUCGUGGGCGUAGGAAAUUUGAGAGGAGCUGUCCUUAGUACGAGAGGACCGGGAUGGACGCACCGCUGGUGUACCAGUUGUUCUGCCAAGGGCAUAGCUGGGUAGCUAUGUGCGGAAGGGAUAAGUGCUGAAAGCAUCUAAGCAUGAAGCCCCCCUCAAGAUGAGAUUUCCCAUAGCGUAAGCUAGUAAGAUCCCUGAAAGAUGAUCAGGUUGAUAGGUUCGAGGUGGAAGCAUGGUGACAUGUGGAGCUGACGAAUACUAAUAGAUCGAGGACUUAACCAU